UGCCCCUGCGGAUAUGCGCCUCGCCUCAGGCCACCUCCUGAGUCUGCUCAGUGCCCAGCAGGGGGCGUGCGGUCGGACUUCUGAGUGCCCGGCUCCGCUAGGAAGUGUAGGGCCGUCUACCCAACCAGAAGCGCUUUCGAGACAUGCGUUUACACGCGGUUGAAGUAAUCACGGCCGUUUUUCCAGUUCCCUUUCCUACGUCUCCUCCGGCCCUUCUUGUCACCGAGGGUCGAGUGGGGUCUCCUCAGGCAGGAGGGUCCCGGGGCCGGGGUCAAUGGGGUCUCCUCGAGCUGGAGGGGGCGUGGGUCCCAGGUCGCGGGGGGCGUCAGAUCCCUAGGGUGGACGGCGGCUGCGCGGGGCCAACAGUCGAGGCCAGCGGGUCCCUAAGUGCCACCAGCCACACCCGGCGCGACGUCAGCGACUGUAGCCGCUCACCCCAGUAAAACCAGAAUGUCUUCCCCAUUCCUUGCUCACUGCCAGAAAACUGUCUGAGCCCGGCCAAGGAGACCUCUUCAGCCAGCUGCUCAAUCUUUCCUUUCAAACGCCAGUGCUUGCUAUUUCCAACUUUAAUUGGUUAGAACUUGCAACUCUGUUCAGCCCCUUCUAAAUCUGACCCCAGUUCCUCAGAACCAAAACUAGGAACAGAGCUGACUGAUCAGAAUUUCCUUUAGAUACAUGAGGGUGUGGGUAUUGAAGAAGAACGUUCCUCUGGAUCAAACAAAGCAGAUCUACUCAAUUCAAUGUAUGUUUUUAUUGUAUGCUUACUAUAUGCAAAAUGAAAUUUGAAAUAAAAAUGUGAAUAAAAUGCUUAUCUACACUUUAAUAGAAUUGAGCCCCCAACAAUAUAUAGUUAGUAGCAAAUGAAAAUAAUAUAAACUGUGAAUUGCAGGAAAUCGGUAUAAAUACAUGGAAUACCUCAGGGUAUUCAGAGAUUAUAUUGUACUACAGGAACUAUAACAUUACUGUAUUUGUAUUACUGUAUUUGUCUAAAGAAAGUUUCUUGCUUAAAAAUAUAGUCAUUUUCACAGCUUUUAACCAUUUAGAAAUUUUGGGGGGAUGAUUUGUAUAGACCAUUUACAUAUUCUAAAAUUAACUUAAAUUUUCAUUUAAGUGUUAUAUGAAUACAUCAUUGUUGAAAAAGUUUAAAAAUCAAACCAUGAUUAUCAUCCCCUUAAAUUUUCAUCAUUUAAAUUUUUUCUUGUUCUGUGUUCUAUUAUGUAAAUGGAUAGAUUUGUCCAUAGGUGUAUAGUUCUGCAGUUUUCUUUUCAGAUAUGUAGGCUGGACAUUUGACAUUGGUAUCUCUCUCCAGUGUUUGGGAAAUUCUCCAUUAAGUGUGUCUUGGUGGAAGGUGGGGUCCCAUUUCAAAGGAAGAGGUACCUCUGCAAAUAUGUUGCAAGUGUUUUUCUCUGCAGAUUGUUAUCUGGCUUUUAACAUUUUUUUUUCAAGGAAAAUUGUUACUGUUUGUGUUAUCAGGUUCAUGAAUCUGUUUUUUUGAUAGUUUCCAGGUUAUAGGUCAUGCUUACAAAACAAAACAAAAACUGUCCUCAUUCUAAGGAUAUAAAAUACCCAGUUUUUCAUAACAGCACUUUUAUAAUUAAAUGUAAUAUGUUCAAAUCUUCA